rnacentral:rRNA from 1 species
GUAGUUAGCCGGGGCUUCCUCCUUGGCUACCGUCACUUUCUUCGUCACCAAGGACAGAGGUUUACAACCCGAAGGCCUUCAUCCCUCACGCGGCGUUGCUGGGUCAGGCUUGCGCCCAUUGCCCAAUAUUCCCCACUGCUGCCUCCCGUAGGAGUCUGGACCGUGUCUCAGUUCCAGUGUGGCCGAUCAGCCUCUCAGCUCGGCUACCCAUCGUCGACUUGGUGGGCCGUUACCCCGCCAACUAUCUAAUGGGACGCGAACCCCUCCAAUAGCGGAUUGCUCCUUUGACCUCAUCCUGAUGUCAGGUCGUGGUCUUAUGCGGUAUUAGCAACCGUUUCCGGUUGUUAUCCCCCUCUACUGGGCAGGUUGUUCACGCGUUACUCACCCGUUCGCCACUAAGUUGUAUCUAAAUCCAAUCUUGUGCAAGCACUUAAUCUUCAUUAGGCAACUUCGUUCGACUUGCAUGUCUUAGGCAUGCCGCCAGCGUUCAUCCUGAGCCAUGAUCAAACUCUGA